CAGAUGGAUCUUUUCAGAUCCACAAAAAGUAUUUAAAUGAAAUAUU
rfam:Sus scrofa isolate TJ Tabasco breed Duroc chromosome 1, whole genome shotgun sequence.